rnacentral:tRNA from 1 species
CUCCGGGUGGUCUAGUUGGUUUAUGGCAUCGGACUGUAAUUGCUCAUACAAUAAUAUCCGAGAGUCGGGCGUUCGAUUCGCCCCCUGGAGA